rnacentral:snRNA from 1 species
GUGCUUGCUUUGGCAGCACAUAUACUAAAAUCAGAACUAUAGAGAAGAAGAGCAUGGCCCCUGUGCAAGGAUGACAUGAAAAUUUGUGGACUAAAAAAAAAAAAA